rnacentral:misc_RNA from 1 species
CCAUCGCUAUAUUCAUCAGUUAGCUCUCAUGGAAAGAUCUGUGGCUGAUGAAAAGAUUCUAAGCUACAAUGAUGUUGUUCUUAGGCGAUCGGACCUGGACAUCCUCAGUGGUCCAUAUUUUAUUAAUGAUCGAAUCAUUGAAUUCUACUUCAGUUAUCUCUCUUCAAGUAAUCCUUCAGAAGAUGUCCUAUUGAUUGCACCCUCAAUUGCUUUCUGGAUUUCAAACUGCCCAGAUACUGAGUCUCUCACUGAUUUCCUGGGAC